AUUGAACGCUGGCGGCAGGCCUAACACAUGCAAGUCGAGCGAGUGGCGGACGGGUGAGUAAUGUAUGGGGAUCUGCCCGAUAGAGGGGGAUAACUACUGGAAACGGUGGCUAAUACCGCAUACUAUCGGAUGAACCCAUAUGGGAUUAGCUAGUAGGUGGGGUAACGGCUCACCUAGGCGACGAUCCCUAGCUGGUCUGAGAGGAUGACCAGCCACACUGGGACUGAGACACGGCCCAGACUCCUACGGGAGGCAGCAGUGGGGAAUAUUGCACAAUGGGCACAAGCCUGAUGCAGCCAUGCCGCGUGAAUGAAGAAGGCCUUCGGGUUGUAAAGUUCUUUCGGUGGCGAGGCGUUAACUGCAGAAGAAGCACCGGCUAACUCCGUGCCAGCAGCCGCGGUAAUAC
rnacentral:rRNA from 1 species